rnacentral:sRNA from 1 species
AUAAAAUGGCGGAUUUCGAAGAGUUGAGGGAUCUCCAGUACAAUGUUGAAUAGAAGCUGUGAUGGGGGCAUCCUGAUCUUGUUCCUGAUUUUAAAGGGAAUGCUUUCAAAGUUUCACAGUUAAGUAUGAUGCUUGCUGUAGGUUUAUUAUAGAUAAUCUUUCCAGGUUAAGGAUGUUCCCUUUCUUAGUUUGCUAAUUAAAAAAAUCAUGAAUGAAUUUUAUCAGAAGCUUUUUCUGCAUCUUUUGAGAAAAUUAUAUAUUUCUCUUUUGUAAUCUGUUAACAUGCUGAGUUAUAUUAACUUUUUCCCAAUAUUUAAACAAACUUUGUGUUGCAAGUAUAAAUUCAACCCUGAUCUGUUCCUUUUUUUCAUUGGACUCAGUUUGGAGAUAUUUAAUUUAGGAUUUUUGUCUCUCAUAAUGAGUAAAAUUAGCCUAUAGUUAAAAAAUAUACCUUUUCUCUUCUGGAAGAGUUUAUGUAACAUUAGAAAGAUCUGUUUCUUAAAUAUUUAGUAGAACUUGCUUAUAAAAUUAUUACUGUUGUUUUCUUUGAGGAAUGCUUCAAUUGCUUUGGUUGUAGGACUGUU